CCUACGGGAGGCAGCAGUAAGGGAUAUUGGUCAAUGGGGGAAACCCUGAACCAGCAACGCAGCGUGAGGGAAGACGGUUUUCGGAUUGUAAACCUCUGUCUUCUGUGAAGAUGAUGACGGUAGCUGAGGAGGAAGCUCCGGCUAACUACGUGCCAACAGCCGCGGUAAUACGUAGGGAGCGAGCGUUGUCCGGAUUUACUGGGUGUAAAGGGAGCGUAGGCGGCUUGGCAAGUCAGUAGUGAAAUUCAUGGGCUUAACCGAUGAAUUGCUAUUGAAACUGUAGGGCUUGAGUGAAGUAGGGGAAGGCGGAAUUCACGGUGUAGCGGUGAAAUGCGUAGAGAUCGGGAGGAACUCCAGUGGCGAAGGC
rnacentral:rRNA from 1 species